GGGGGAAUAGCUCAGUGGUAGAGCAUCGGUUUCUUAGAGCAUCAGUUUCUUAGUGCAUCGGUUUCUUACACUGUUAAAAAGGUCGUCGGUUCGAUCCCCGGCUUCCCCG
rnacentral:tRNA from 1 species